rnacentral:rRNA from 1 species
GUGCCAGCCGCCGCGGUAAGACGAACCGUGCGAACGUUGUUCGGAUUCACUGGGCUUAAAGGGCGCGUAGGCGGUUCGCCAAGUCUGGGGUGAAAUCUUUCGGCUCAACCGGAAAAUUGCCUGGGAUACUGGCGGGCUAGAGGGAGGUAGGGGCAGCGGGAACUACCAGUGGAGCGGUGAAAUGCGUUGAUAUUGGUAGGAACGCCUGUGGCGAAAGCGCGCUGCUGGACCUCUUCUGACGCUGAGUGCGCGAAAGCUAGGGGAGCAAACGGGAUUAGAUACCCCGGUAGUCCUAGCCUUAAACGAUGGGUACUAGGUUGUGGACUUGACAUGGGUUCACAGCCGAAGCAAAAGUGCUAAGUACCCCGCCUGGGGAGUAUGGUCGCAAGGCUGAA